UGAACUUUGCUUCUAGAUUGAACUUCAUAAAUCUAUCUACAAGUAUCUCGGGACUAACUAGAGAUCACCUUUGCAGCCACGAAAAGAAAUCGCAAGGAAUUGGAUGAAGUCCCACUUUUUGCUUCUUCCUCCCCCUGCCUUGAUUUUUUCUUCUCCUGCUCGUGUCCUUCCUCUUAGCUUAUUUGAUUCACUUUAAGAAUGUGGUCAUGAGUAGCUUCUAAAUUAGAAAUAAUCUGCUAUUAAUUAAAAUAAUUAGGAAUAUUCUAACAGUACCAUAUCGUCAGAAAUUAUGUGAUCAAGCAAGUGUGGCUUGAGAACACAACAUAUAUACACAAUUAACCAGUUGAAAUUAUGUAGUUCAAUUUCAUGACAUAGUCUUCCUGUAUGGCCAAUACUUUACUCAGGCACUCUCUUUUUUUACCCUUCACUACUAACUAAAUUAAAACCUGCUCAUUAUCACCAGAGAUUACAAGAAAAAGUACU
rnacentral:lncRNA from 1 species